rnacentral:rRNA from 1 species
UACGGGGGGGGCAAGCGUUGUUCGGAAUUACUGGGCGUAAAGGGCUCGUAGGCGGCCAACUAAGUCAGACGUGAAAUCCCUCGGCUUAACCGGGGAACUGCGUCUGAUACUGGAUGGCUUGAGUUCGGGAGAGGGAUGCGGAAUUCCAGGUGUAGCGGUGAAAUGCGUAGAUAUCUGGAGGAACACCGGUGGCGAAGGCGGCAUCCUGGACCGACACUGACGCUGAGGAGCGAAAGCGUGGGGAGCGAACAGG